rnacentral:lncRNA from 1 species
CUCUGUCCACACACAUGUUGCUGUGACACUUACCAUCUUCCUUUUCUUCCAGUGCACGUUGUCAUUUUAUGGGCAGGUAACUGGUCUUUGAACCAUACUUUUGCAAACAUGGACCCAGUGAAGAAAACUGUGCCUCACCCAGAUGUCCAAGACCUGGAGCCAGAGACUGGAGGAUCCUCGAGGCUUGUUUUCUUUCAGAAAUGAAAGAAUGAGUACCGUGAAUUGGACGUGUCUCUAUCUAGGAUGGUAUUUCAUGCCUUCAUGGACCAUGUUGGAGAUUUAAGUCCAAUCAAGGACCAGUGAUGAGAUGGACAUAAGGAUGACUGAAGCUGAGAGAGAAAAAAAAGGUGAUAUUCUCACAUAUUUUACAAUUCUUAAAAAAUGAAUUCACAG